rnacentral:ncRNA from 2 species
UGGUAGUAGCAAAUAUUCAAAUGAGAACUU